rnacentral:rRNA from 1 species
UACGGAGGGUGCAAGCGUUGUCCGGAAUCACUGGGCGUAAAGGGCGCGUAGGCGGCCUGGUAAGUAGGGGGUGAAAUCCUGCGGCUUAACCGCAGGGCUGCCUUCUAAACUGUCAGGCUUGAGCACGGUAGAGGCAGAUGGAAUUCCCGGUGUAGCGGUGGAAUGCGUAGAGAUCGGGAAGAACAUCAGUGGCGAAGGCAGUCUGCUGGGCCGUUGCUGACGCUGAGGCGCGAAAGCGUGGGGAGCAAACAGG